AGUGAACGCUGGCUGCGUGCUUAACACAUGCAAGUCGAACGAGAACGGAAUAUAGCUUGCUAUAUUUGUCAGCUAAGUGGCGCACGGGGGAGUAAUGUAUAGAUAACCUGCCCUUAAGAAAGGAAUAACAGUUGGAAACGACUGCUAAUGCCCUAUAUGCCUUUAAUACAUAAGUAUGCAAGGGAAACACUUUAGUGCUUAAGGAUGGGUCUGUAUGGUAUGAGCAUGUUGGUGAGGUAAUGGCUCACCAAGGCUAUGACGCCUAACUGGUUUGAGAGGAUGAUCAGUCACACUUGAACUGAGACACGGUCCAGACUCCUACGGGAGGCAGCAGUGGGGAAUAUUGCACAAUGGACGAAAGUCUGAUGCAGCAACGCCGCGUGGAGGAUGACACAUUUCGGUGCGUAAACUCCUUUUAUAUAGGAAGAUAAUGACGGUACUAUAUGAAUAAGCACCGGCUAACUCCGUGCCAGCCGCCGCGGUAACAC
rnacentral:rRNA from 1 species